AUAUGAAGUAGAAUAUAAGAAAGAUGGGGUUUAGGGUUUGGGGUUUGGGGUUUCUGAUUUUAGAGGUUUAGAAAUUUACCUCGUUAAAAACUCGUAAUUUACGAGGCAUUUACGAGGACCAGAAAGACGGGCCUCGCUUAUUCGUCGUUGGAUUUGGGACGGGCCUCGCAAUUUCCUCGUAAGUUUACGAGGAUUUUACGAGGAAAUAAAAGACGGGCCUCAUUAAUUCCUCGUAAAGCUACAAGGAAAUUGCGACGCCUUCGUAAGUUAUAUAUACAACCCAAACCUCACACUCUGCAUUCGUCCCAACUUCCUCUCCAAUUCCUCCCCAUUUCCUCUCCAACUCCUCUCCCAUUCCUCUCUCCUUCGAAAUGGUUCGCAAGAACAUGCUUACUGCUCACUACAGAGACAUGUUCGGUGAGCCUGGUAGUCAGUUAGACCCUCCAGGUUCUUCUUCAGGUGCCGGCGGUUCCGUGUGAGUGGACUCGAGGCCUUCAUCGACGUUAUAGCGGCCACAAAUCCGGAAUGAGAAACUUUGUUGAGGAACAUGAAACAACAAAAUCUCAUUCCAGGCGAGUCAUCGGGCACACAUGACGAGGAGGAUGUUAUGAGGAGGAGCAAGGAAUUCUACGAGGCGAUGAACGGGCCUUAGUUUUUUUCGAUUUAUGUAUUAUAAAAUCCAAAACUUAUUUAUAUAUAAAAUAUUUUGUUGCAUUUGAAUUUUAUUUAAAAUUUAUUUAUAAACCACAAAUAUAUAAAUAUUUUUACUAAAUUAAAUUAAUAAUUAUUAAAUUUAUCAAUAUUAUUUAUUAAUUCAAAAA